AUGCCUUAAACUUAUGAGUAAGGAAAAUAAUGAUUCGGGGUGAUGUCCGAGUCCUCGCUGCUUAUGUGAGACCAAUUUUUGAAUGGGUUAAGGUUGAUAUCUAAGGCGACCUGCCUGCUUUGUGGGAUGCCUAGGUAUCUUGAUCUGCCAG